rnacentral:rRNA from 1 species
UCCAGGCCCUACGGGGUGCAGCAGGCGCGAAACCUUUACAAUGCACGCAAGUGUGAUAAGGGAAUCCCUAGUGCUCAUGUACUGCAUGGGCUUUUGUUAAGUGUAAAUAGCUUGACGAAUAAGUGGUGGGUAAGACUGGUGCCAGCCGCCGCGGUAACACCAGCGCCACGAGUGGUGACCACGUUUAUUGGGCCUAAAGCGUCCGUAGCCGGUUUGAUAAAUCUUUUGUGAAAUUGUUUAGCUUAACUAUACAGCGUGCAAGAGACACUGUCAAACUCGAGACCGGGAGGAGUCAGAAGUAUUCCAGAGGGAGCGGUAAAAUGUUAUAAUCUCUGGAGGACUACCUGUGGCGAAGGCGUCUGACCAGAACGGAUCUGACGGUGAGGGACGAAAGCUAGGGGAGCGAACCGGAUUAGAUACCCGAGUAGUCCUAGCCGUAAACGCUGUGAGCUAGGUGUUGCGCCAGCUACAUGGUGGUGCAGUGUCGAAAUGAAGAUGUUAAGCUCACCGCCUGGGAAGUACGGUCGCAAGACUGAAACUUUAAGGAAUUGGCGGGGGAGCACCACAAGGGGUGCGGCGUGCGGUUUAAUCUAACUCAACGCAGAGAACCUUACUAGAAGCGACGGCAGAAUGAAGAUCAGCUUGAAGAGCUUAUCUGACAAGCCGAGAGGUGGUGCAUGGCCGCCGUCAGCUCGUGCUGUGAAGUGUCCUCUUAAGUGAGGCAACGAGCGAGACCUGUAUUCGCAAUUGCUAACAGCAACAUGUUGGACUGAGCACUUUGCGAAGACUGCCUUGGAAACAAGGAGGAAGGUGCAGGCUACGGUAGGUCUGUAUGCCCCGAAUCUUCUAGGCUACACGCGCGCAACAAUGGUUGGGACAAUGGGAUGCAACUCCGAAAGGAGAAGCUAAACCUCUAAACCCAAUCCAAGUCCAGAUUGAGGCUUGCAACUCAGCCUCAUGACGACGGAAUCCCUAGUAAUCAGAAGUCAUCAUCUUCUGGUGAAUAUGUCCCUGCUCCUUGCACACACCGCCGUC